rnacentral:rRNA from 1 species
GUGGGGAAUCUUGCGCAAUGGGCGAAAGCCUGACCCAGCCAUGCCGCGUGAAUGAUGAAGGUCUUAGGAUUGUAAAAUUCUUUCACCGGGGACGAUAAUGACGGUACCCGGAGAAGAAGCUCCGGCUAACUUCGUGCCAGCAGCCGCGGUAAUACGAAGGGGGCUAGCGCUGCUCGGAAUUACUGGGCGUAAAGGGCGCGUAGGCGGACAGCUUAGUCAGAGGUGAAAGCCCAGGGCUCAACCUUGGAAUUGCCUUUGAUACUGGCUGUCUUGAGUUUGGGAGAGGUGAGUGGAACUCCGAGUGUAGAGGUGAAAUUCGUAGAUAUUCGGAAGAACACCAGUGGCGAAGGCGACUCACUGGCCCAAUACUGACGCUGAGGCGCGAAAGCGUGGGGAGCAAACAGGAUUAGAAACCCUAGUAGUCC